rnacentral:lncRNA from 1 species
AUACUUCUCUCAGUUGGAUGUUCAUUGUGUGUGUUGAUCCGAACAACUCUGCUCGUAAAAGCUGGCCUUUUGACAUCUCAAAAUUUUUUCCAAAAGAUGCUCCACUCUACCCUUCGUGCUCCAAUGUCUUUCUUUGACUCAACACCAUCUGGGAGGAUAUUAAGCAGGGUCAGUACUUAGUUUAAUCUCUCAUUUAUGCAGUUUAAAUUAUUAUUCAUGUAAAUCCUGAAUUGUAAAUACUUGUGUAGUUUUGCGAUUAAAACUAAUUGUUUCUUAUUACGAAUUAUCUCUAGGCCUCUAUGGAUCAAAGUGUGCUCGACUUAGAUUUACCUUGGAGAUUAGGUUGGUGUGCAUUCUCAAUUAUACAGAUUCUGGGGACUAUUGCAGUCAUGUCACAGGUUGCUUGGCCAGUUUUUGCAAUAUUAAUUCCAGUGACAGCAAUAUGUAUAUGGUAUCAAGUAAGAACACUCACUCACUCAAAAAUUACUUGGAAAAAUAUUGAAGAUUUGUUGUCAAUAUCAGAGACUGUCCACAUAGAAAUUCUUGAAUUUUGAAAGAAAAAAUUUGACUGUUUUUUUUCUUUUUCCUUAAACUGUAGUUCCCAUGAUUUGCUUGUCUGCCAGUAUAGAUGAUAUUAUAAACAUAAAAGGAUAUAUCUAUUGAAAUAUGCUUAACCCUAGUUAGAUAUUCAGUUAUAAUGAAAGAUUUAAAUCAUUUUGGCAAUUUGAAGACUGAACUUUUGACAAUGACUAAUGCAGCAAUACUACAUACCUACUGCUAGAGAAUUGGCUCGUUUGUCAGAAAUCCAAAAAGCUCCGAUCCUUCAUCAUUUUGUAGAAUCACUCUCUGGUGCUGUAACUAUUCGAGCAUUUGGGCAGAAAGACCGUUUCAGCAAUACAAACCUCAGCCUC